rnacentral:rRNA from 1 species
GACGAACGCUGGCGGCGUGCUUAACACAUGCAAGUCGAACGAUGAAGUUCCUUCGGGAAUGGAUUAGUGGCGAACGGGUGAGGAACACGUGAGAAACCUGCCUUUCAUUUUGGGAUAACUCCGGGAAACCGGGGCUAACACCGAAUACUCCGUCUCGGCGGCAUCGCUGAGCCGGGAAAAAAUUUUGAUGAAAGAUGGUCUCGCGGCCUAUCAGCUAGUUGGUGAGGUAAUGGCUCACCAAGGCAACGACGGGUAGCCGGCCUGAGAGGGCGAGCGGCCACACUGGGACUGAGACACGGCCCAGACUCCUACGGGAGGCAGCAGGGGGGAAUAUUGGGCAAUGGGCGCAAGCCUGACCCAGCGGCGCCGCGUGAGGGAUGAAGGCCUUCGGGUUGUAAACCUCUUUCAGUAGGGAGGAAGCGAAAGUGACGGUACCUAAAGAAGAAGCACCGGCUAACUAUGUGCCAGCCGCCGCCGUAA